UACGGAGGGGGCUAGCGUUGUUCGGAAUUACUGGGCGUAAAGCGCACGUAGGCGGCUUGGUAUGUCGGGUGUGAAAUCCCCGGGCUCAACCUGGGAACUGCAUCCGAAACUGCCUUGCUAGAGUAUGGGAGAGGGAAGUGGAAUUUCCGGUGUAGCGGUGAAAUGCGUAGAUAUCGGAAGGAACAUCAGUGGCGAAGGCGACUUCCUGGACCAAUACUGACGCUCAGGUGCGAAAGCGUGGGGAGCAAACAGG
rnacentral:rRNA from 1 species